rnacentral:rRNA from 1 species
GAUGAACGCUGGCGGCGUGCCUAAUACAUGCAAGUCGAGCGAACAGAUGAGGAGCUUGCUCCUCUGACGUUAGCGGCGGACGGGUGAGUAACACGUGGAUAACCUACCUAUAAGACUGGGAUAACUUCGGGAAACCGGAGCUAAUACCGGAUAAUAUAUUGAACCGCAUGGUUCAAUAGUGAAAGACGGUUUUGCUGUCACUUAUAGAUGGAUCCGCGCCGCAUUAGCUAGUUGGUAAGGUAACGGCUUACCAAGGCAACGAUGCGUAGCCGACCUGAGAGGGGGAGGGGCAAAACGGGAAAUGAGACACGGUCAAGACAACGAGGGGAGGAAGAAGUAGGGAAUCUUCCGCAAGGGGCGAAAGCCUGAAGGAGCAACGCCGGGUGAGUGAUGAAGGUCUUAGGAGCGAAAAACUCUGUUAUGAGGGAAAAACAAAUGGGUAAGUAACUAUGCACGUCUGGACGGUACCUAAUCAGAAAGCCACGGCUAACUACG